rnacentral:rRNA from 1 species
CAGAAACUACAAAGGAAGUUGACGGGGGCCCGGCACAAGCGGUGGAGCAUGUGGUUUAAUUCGAUGAUACGCGAGGAACCUCACCUGGGCUCAAAUGUAUGUUGACGUAUUCUGAAAGGGAUACUUCUUCGGACAAUAUACAAGGUGCUGCAUGGUUGUCGUCAGCUCGUGCCGUGAGGUGUCGGGUUAAGUCCCAUAACGAGCGCAACCCCUAUCAUUAGUUGCCAUCAGGUCAAGCUGGGGACUCUAAUGAAACUGCCUACGCAAGUAGUGAGGAAGGCGGGGAUGACGUCAAAUCAGCACGGCCCUUACGUCCAGGGCUACACACGUGCUACAAUGGCCGAUACAGAGGGCAGCUACCUGGUGACAGGAUGCAAAUCUCCAAAGUCGGUCUCAGUUCGGAUCGGAGUCUGCAACCCGACUCCGUGAAGUUGGAUUCGCUAGUAAUCGCGCAUCAGCCAUGGCGCGGUGAAUACGUUCCCGGGCCUU